CUCAUGGUUUCACGGUAUUGCAAUGAGAACAAUUUAGAACCCUUAGCGAGAAUCAAGUGGAGGACAAGUCUGGUGCCAGCACCCGCGGUAAUUCCAGCUCCACUAGCGUAUAUUAAAGUUGUUGCAGUUAAAAAGCUCGUAGUUGAACCUCUGUCUGGGGCUAGUUUUGGCUUUGGUCAGGCUAGUUCUAGGCAUCCGCCUACAAGACUUAGAGGGCAUUCAGUUGUUCACUAGGAGGAGUAGGCAUUUUACUUUGAAAAAAUUAGAGUGUUUAAGGCAGGCAAUCGCCCGCAUAUAUUAGCAUGGAAUAAUAGAAUAGGACACUUUUCCAUUUCGUUGGUUAUUGGAAUCGUGUAAUGAUUAAUAGGGACAGUUGUGGGCAUUUGUAUUUAAUUGUCAGAGGUGAAAUUCUUGGAUUUAUUAAAGACAAACUAACGCGAAAGCAUUUGCCAAGGAUGUUUUCAUUAAUCAAGAACGAAAGUUAGGGGAUCAAAGACGAUCAGAUACCGUCCUAGUCUUAACUAUAAACUAUUCCGACUCAAUGUUUGACUGGCUUAUAUAACUAGUUGAGCGUUGUAUGAGAAAUCAAAGUCUUUAGGUUCUGGGGGGAGUAUGGUUGCAAAGCUGAAACUUAAAGGAAUUGACGGAAGAGCACAACCAGGAGUGGAUUCUGCGGCUUAAUUUGACUCAACACGGGGAAACUUACCAGGUUAAAACAAUAGUGGGAUUGACAGUUUGAGAGCGCUUUCUUGAUUGGUUGGGUGGUGGUGCAUGGCCGUUCUUAGUUGGUGGAGUGAUUUGUCUGCUUAAUUGCGUUAACGAACGAGACCUUAACCUGCUUACUAGACUGGCGAUCAUCAAUCGUUAGCUCUUCUUAGAGGGACUUUGGUUGUUUUAACUCCAAGGAAGUUUGAGGCAAUAACAGGUCUGUGAUGCCCUUGGAUAUCCUGGGCCGCACGCGUCAUACAAUGACUAGUUCAGAAAGUUUUCUCCUGACCCGAAAGGGGAUGGGUAAUCUUGAUAAUACUAGUCGUGUUAGGGAUCGAUCUUUGCAAUUAUAGAUCUUGAACGAGGAAUUCCUAGUAAGUGCGGUUCAUCAGACCGUACUGAUUACGUCCCUGCUCUUUGUACACACCGCCCGUCGCUUCUACCGAGUGGGUGGUCCGGUGAGAUAAUUGAACUUCGCAGGUAACUGAGAGGAAAGAUUAUCAAACCUAUCCACCU
rnacentral:rRNA from 1 species